UACAGAGGGUGCGAGCGUCGUUCGGAAUUAUUGGGCGUAAAGCGCUUGUAGGCGGCUUGUUAAGUCGCGUGUGAAAUCCCCAGGCUCAACCUGGGAAGUGCGCGCGAAACUGGCGAGCUUGAAUGCCGGAGAGGGUCGCGGAAUUCCCGGUGUAGAGGUGAAAUUCGUAGAUAUCGGGAGGAACGCCAGUGGCGAAGGCGGCGACCUGGACGGACAUUGACGCUGAGACGCGAAAGCGUGGGGAGCAAACAGG
rnacentral:rRNA from 1 species